rnacentral:pre_miRNA from 1 species
GGAAACUUAGAAAUUACCGUUGGAUCGAGAAAUGGACAUCCGAGAUUCGUCCAUGUCACCAUGAGUUAACUCAUGAGUGAAUCUGCGAGUUAAGUUUUAACUCAUGAUGACGUGGACGAAUCUCGGAUGUCCAUUUCUCGAUCCAACGGUAGUUUUCAAGUUUUC